GCAUUAGAAAAUCGUGACAAUAAUUCAAUGGAGGAAUAAAAAAUGGCACUUUCAAAAGAAGUAAAAGCACAAAUCGUUAAGGAUUUUGGUCGUGAUGC
rnacentral:ncRNA from 1 species